rnacentral:rRNA from 1 species
UACGGAGGGGGCUAGCGUUGUCCGAAGUUACUGGGCGUAAAGCGCGCGUAGGCGGUUCGUUAAGUCGGGUGUGAAAACCCGGGGCUCAACCCCGGGCCUGCAUCCGAUACUGGCGGACUCGAGGCAGACAGGGGAGAGUGGAAUUCCCGGUGUAGCGGUGAAAUGCGUAGAUAUCGGAAGGAACAUCAGUGGCGAAAGCGACUUCCUGGACCAAUACUGACGCUCAUGUGCGAAAGCGUGGGGAGCAAACAGG